UGAACGCUGGCGGCGUGCUUAACACAUGCAAGUCGAGCGAGAAGACUUUGACAGAUCCUUCGGGUGAUGGAAAAGUUGGAAAGCGGCGGACGGGUGAGUAACGCGUGGGCAACCUGCCCCAUACAGGAGGAUAGCCACUGGAAACGGUGAUUAAUACUCCAUAAGACCACAGCACCACAUGGUGCAGAGGUAAAAACUCCGGUGGUAUGGGAUGGGCCCGCGUCUGAUUAGCUAGUUGGUAAGGUAACGGCUUACCAAGGCGACGAUCAGUAGCCGACCUGAGAGGGUGAUCGGCCACACUGGAACUGAGACACGGUCCAGACUCCUACGGGAGGCAGCAGUGGGGAAUAUUGCACAAUGGGCGAAAGCCUGAUGCAGCAACGCCGCGUGAACGAUGAAGGCCUUCGGGUUGUAAAGUUCUUUUCUUGGAGAAGAAUAAAUGACGGUAUCCAAGGAAAUAAGCCCCGGCUAACUACGUGCCAGCAGCCGCGGUAAUACGUAGGGGGCAAGCGUUAUCCGGAAUCACUGGGCGUAAAGGGAGUGUAGGCGGUCAAGC
rnacentral:rRNA from 1 species